GGAGACCAGGUAGAAGUGUUUUGCUGGAGUGGUCCUGAUGUGGGAUGAUGGCGGCCCAGACGAGAGGGGUGGCAAAUGAAACAAGCAGAAAGGAGAGAUGUAGGCCAUGGAACAGACAGAAGAGGACGUGGCCACCUCUACACCUUCAUGUGAAAUGUGGACAAUGAACUGAAAGGACACCCCGGGCCCCUUUCCUAGAGCUGAGCAAAAUCUGCUGUGGUCCCCAUGUAUUUAUGUGCUGAUCACCUGGGUUGACAGUGGAAUCUCACCUCCUUAUUUCCCAUUUGGGAAUUGUCUUCCUCUACAAUUCUCUCCUAUUUCAACAAUACAAAUAAACUCAGAGCAAAGUC